rnacentral:rRNA from 1 species
CUCGUAGGCGGUUCAACAAGUCGGUCGUGAAAGCCCGGGGCUCAACCCCGGGACGCCGGUCGAAACUGUUGUGACUAGGGUCCGGUAGAGGUGAGUGGAAUUCUCGGUGUAGCGGUGGAAUGCGCAGAUAUCGAGAGGGACACCAGUAGCGAAGGCGGCUCACUGGGCCGGUACCGACGCUGAGGAGCGAAAGCAUGGGGAGCAAACA